rnacentral:rRNA from 1 species
AAAUGACUCUCGACAACGGAUAUCCCGGCUCUCGCAUCGAUGAAGAACGUAGCGAAAUGCGAUACUUGGUCUGAAUUGCAGAAUCCCGUGAACCAUCGAGUCUUUGAACGCAAGUUGCGCCCGAAGCCAUUAGGCCGAGGGCACGUCUGCCUGGGUGUCACGCAUCGUGUUGC